rnacentral:rRNA from 1 species
GUGGGGAAUAUUGGGCAAUGGGGGAAACCCUGACCCAGCAACGCCGCGUGAAGGAAGAAGGUUUUCGGAUCGUAAACUUCUAUCCUUGGUGAAAAUAGUGAUGGUAGCCAAGAAGGAAGCCCCGGCUAACUACGUGCCAGCAGCCGCGGUAAUACGUAGGGGGCAAGCGUUGUCCGGAAUGAUUGGGCGUAAAGGGCGCGUAGGCGGCCUGGUAAGUUUGAAGUGAAAGUCCUUCUUUUAAGGAGGGAACUGCUUUGAAAACUGUCGGGCUUGAGUGCAGGAGAGGUAAGCGGAAUUCCCGGUGUAGCGGUGAAAUGCGUAGAGAUCGGGAGGAACACCAGUGGCGAAGGCGGCUUACUGGACUGUUACUGACGCUGAGGCGCGAAAGUGUGGGGAGCAAACAGGAUUAGAAACCCGAGUAGUCC